GCGUAAGCGCGCGCAGGUGGUUUCUUAAGUCUGAUGUGAAAGCCCACGGCUCAACCGUGGAGGGUCAUUGGAAACUGGGAGACUUGAGUGCAGAAGAGGAAAGUGGAAUUCCAUGUGUAGCGGUGAAAUGCGUAGAGAUAUGGAGGAACACCAGUGGCGAAGGCGACUUUCUGGUCUGUAACUGACACUGAGGCGCGAAAGCGUGGGGAGCAAACAGGAUUAUAUACCCUGGUACUCCACGCCGUAAACGAUGAGUGCUAAGUGUUAGAGG
rnacentral:rRNA from 1 species